GGAGGAUUCAAGCUUCAUUUCGGGGCGGGAGGGAGAGCGAAAACGUCUGGCUCGAACCAGUUGGCGCUCUCUAAUAUUCUCCUUUGGAUCGUUCAAUCUCUUCGAUUCUCAGUCGUUAUUGAUAGGUUGUCUUGGAGUGGAUUGAGGUGCUGAAACCGUGAAAGAAAUGGGCUAUAUCGGGGCACAUGGCGUGGCGGCUCUACGAAGAUACAAGUACAUUGGUGAGGAUCACUCUAUUGUGGCGAAAUAUGUCUUGCAACCCUUCUGGAGCCGUUUCGUGAAUUUCUUUCCUCUUUGGAUGCCCCCAAACAUGAUAACUUUUGUUGGAUUCAUUUUUCUGGUCACAUCUGCACUGCUUGGCUAUGUAUAUUCGCCUCAUCUAGAUUCAGCUCCACCAAGAUGGGUUCAUUUUGCCCAUGGGUUACUCCUUUUCUUAUAUCAGACUUUUGAUGCUGUUGAUGGAAAACAAGCAAGAAGAACAAAUUCAUCAAGUCCAUUGGGGGAACUCUUUGACCAUGGAUGUGAUGCACUUGCAUGUGCGUUUGAAUCUUUAGCUUUUGGAAGCACUGCCAUGUGUGGGAGGAAUACUUUUUGGUUAUGGGUUAUUGCAGCCGUUCCUUUUUAUGGUGCUACAUGGGAACAUUAUUUCACAAAUACUCUAAUUCUUCCUACUAUAAAUGGACCCACAGAGGGUCUUAUGCUGCUCUAUCUAUCUCACUUUUUUACUGCAUUUGUUGGUGCUGAAUGGUGGACUCGUCCUAUUGGAAAAUUCUUGCCAUUUUUAAGCUGGGUUCCGUUGCUUCCUGAUGUUGCGAUGAGUAGCGCUGUGAUGUUACUAAUGACAGCUUUUGGUGUUAUUCCCACGGUUGCAUUUAAUGUGUCCAAUGUCUAUAAGGUUGUUCGGGCGAGAAAAGGAAGCAUGUUACUGGCUUUAGCAAUGUUGUGCCCAUUUGCUGUACUCCUUGGUGGAGUCCUGGCAUGGGAUUACUUAUCUCCUUCAGACCUCAUAAAAAACUAUCCACAUUUGGUUGUAACCGGAAGCGGCCUUGCCUUUGGAUUCUUAGUGGGAAGAAUGAUUCUUGCUCAUUUGUGCGAUGAACCUAAGGGCUUGAAAACUGGAAUGUGCAUGUCACUCUUCUAUCUCCCAUUUGCGAUUGCGAAUGCACUGACCGCAAGACUUGGUGGAGGGGUUCCUUUGUUUGGUGAGAGAUUGGUUCUGCUUGGUUACUUCAUCUACUCAGGUGCUCUCUAUUUGCACUUUGCCACCUCAGUUAUUGAAGAAAUGAGAAGUUCUUUGGGAAUCCACUGCUUCAGGAUAAUUAAGAAAGAAGGUUGAAAUCUGCUGGUUUUUCCGUAUUGAGUAUCGGCUUCAAUACCAGGAUAAUUAAGAAAGAAGGUUGAAAUCUGCUGGUUUUUCCGUAUUGAGUAUCGGCUUCAAUAUGAAGGCAACGUGUAUUUAGCUAUUUCAGAACCUCGGCUAUCUUCGUGUAGAUUGUACAACGUAGCUAAAUCUGACCAUCUGAUCUAUGAUCACAGAGAAAUGGGGAAACAUCCAAUGGAAACAGAGCACGUCAGACAGCAAAGGUUAUCAGACACGCAAACUUUGAUGGCGAUGGAGGAGGGAGCAGGGCGGCAGCAACGAGAGGGAGACUGGAUGCACGCCCGCCCGCCCCAGCUCCACUGAUUGAUGGAUCUUGGCCGUAUGAUUUGAAGACUUUGUUCCCACUGAGACUCGGGCGCAGGAUGAAGGAGUUGACCCUGCAGCAGAGUAGCAGAGCCCAGAAGCGCUAGCAACAGCGAACCAGCCUUCUUAUUAUGGAGAUUGUUCAAUUUGAAGAAGUGUCAUCUAUCAGCCCGUCAAGGAAGCAGUGGCCAUGAGGGAGAGAGGCAAAGCUCUGGCGGUUUACAGCAACGAUAUGGACUUCUAUUCCUCUGCUUCUGAGUUUCCCUGUAAGAAACACCCUUCUUCUUCCUCUGUUGGUAUCUGUGCUGAUUGUUUGAAAGAUCGGUUGAUCAGGCUUGUUUGUUCUGACUGUGGGGAGCAGAGGCUCUCCUCCUGCUCCUGCUCUGAGAUCUCGUCGAAUCGAAAUUCCUGUACUGUGGAAGUGGGAAGUGUUGGGAGAGUUUCGUUUUUGAUUGAGAAUGAGAGAAAUGGCGUUUCGUUGCUGGGUCCGAUGAAGCCCAAGAUGGAGAAAAGGGAGGAGAUCGUGCUUCUGGAGAGAAGCAGUAGUAGCUGUGUGGAGAGUAAGAAGAGUGGGUUUUGGAGGAUCGGGAAUUUUUUCAGGAAAAAGAGGGAGAAGGAAUGUGAGAGAUCAAGCGUCUGCGGGUUUGAUGAAAAGAGCGAUAUUUGUAUGGUUGAUCACAUGGGUGUCUCAAGAUCGAGAUCUCUCUGCAGUUUUCGUGGUGGCGGGUUUUUUGGGUCGGAGGACGGCGGAGACAUGGUGGUUUCUGGUGGCCGGAGCUCGAUUUCCGGUGCAAGAACAUCGAGUGUCAAUGGAGGACUCGUUUGUGAUUCCGCCAGAAGAAGUGGAUUCAGCGAAACAGAGCCAAGAAAAAGCGGUUUCGAGAGCGAUCACAGAGAUUGUGGAAAUUAUGAAAGCGAUCACAAUGGGUUCGGUUUAGCUAGUAGACGUGUAUUUUCUUUAAAAGAAAGCGAUUUUAACGGGAUGGGUGAAUCUGGGUUCAUAGAUUUCAAGUUGGAUUUCACAUCAGAAACAAAGCCAGACAUCUCUGUUCCCAAAAUGGGUCUGGGUCUGGGUUUGGGACCUUUCUCAAACCCCAACCCUGCAUUUGGGAGCUCGAGAGCUUUCGACAUGGCGCUUUACAGUGGCUCCACCGGCCAAGGGAUAAUCGGCAGCGGCGGAGGUUCCUGUAGAAUAACAGUCAGUGACAGAGGGAUAAAGAAGGGGAGGAAAAGCUUGAAAUCAUGGAAAUGGAUAUUCAAGCAUCCGCCAAACUGGGCAAAUGCUGCAACAUCGAGGAAGAAAGAAGAAGAAUUAAUGUCUAAAACUUGAAUUCAACAAGAACAUAUUAGCAAGUGUCCUUUUUUUCCCUUCGUUUUAUGUAGGGUUUAGUACGAAUAUCGAUCUGUAUUUCUGUCAUCUUUCCAAAUAUAGUUGGUAAUUGUUCUGUGAACUUCAAAGCCACUCGUGUAGUCUGCUCAAAAUCUCUUUAUUUGUUCUUGGAGUAUGUGCCUGUCUACUGGCCAGUGCCAUUUGGGGCACAAACGGGCUGUUUGGUUUAGACAUUGCGUAGACAAAGACAAGGAAUGGUAAGCCAGAAUGUCUCCUCAGUGACAGUUCUUUAUAAAAA